UCCAAAUCCCCCAACCUAAAUCCUCUCACGCAGUCCCUCCGCCGCCGCCUGCUAGCUAGCCGCCCGCACGCCGCCGACCGCCCACCGUCUCCACCACGCCGUCACCUGUCUCCUUCAUCCUCCUGCACCCCCACUGCUUAGGCCCCAAACACUACUAACCCUGCGCUAGAGUUCGGGGAGAGGCCAAGGCGCGGUGGUGGACGCCGCCAUCCCUCUCAGAUCCGGGGCUGAGAGAGGGAGGGGGGAGGGAGAGGUGGGUCACCUGCGAGAGAGAUCACUCGCGCCCUCGCUCGUCAGUCGUCACCCAGGGGCCGCCACCACCGCCACCAUGCCAUGGGCUUCCUCCGAUCUGCGCUCGCCGGUUCGUUCGAAGAAGGAUCUGGUCGUUGACUGCUGGUGAUUCCCCUCCCACCGGUGAUCAGCCAUGACUUGGAAUAGUACUUCUAUCCAGCAAGCAUCGUUUUGGAUGUGAGCUCGAGCUCAAGCAACAAGCAGAGCAUCAAAAACAGGGGCUCUAUCUGCUAAUGGGGUAGCCGGCAAUGCAGUCUAAGAGGUACAUCUCGUGUGAUUUCUGGAUAUGAGAACUUGAGAAGAACAAGCUUGAUGCUAUUACUGAAAAAAAGAAUCUAUGCUACAGGUACUGGCAGUCUGAUGCCUUCAGAAUUGGCUCUCAAAACUUUCAACCAAGAUUAGAGCUAGCGUGCAGUUUGCAGUUUAUAGUCAUACUCAUACUCAAUGAGUCCCUAUCUCGGCUUCUGGGCAAGAUAUUCUUUACUUUUAGCAACCACUAUUGUUCAGGAAUUUUGAGUGGCGCACAUCCUGGUAUGGUGAGAGGCAAGCCGACGACCGGACAUCAUUUGUCAAGGAAGCAAACAGAACGACUACACUCACAAGGAACCAUGAAGCCAACGAUCCACGUCAACUAGAUGUUUUAGCUUUCAUUUUGUACAACUGAUGUCUCAUACUUGCAUCUUUUGGCUGUCCUUUUGUAAACCUGAUGUAUGGUGUCUCAGUGGUUUUGUUUAGAACAGAUUGAAAUGUAUGUAUGUGUCAAUUACUUAAUGGAAUAAAAAAUGUUUGAUGGUCC